GCGCUUGCUUUGGCAGCACAUAUGCUAAAAUUGGAAAGACACAGAGAAGAUUAGCAUGACCCCUGUGCAAGGAUGACAUGCAAAUUUUUGAAGUGUUCCACUUUUUA
rnacentral:snRNA from 1 species